AUUGAACGCUGGCGGCAGGCCUAACACAUGCAAGUCGAGCGUGCGGCGGACGGGUGAGUAAUGUAUGGGGACUGCCCGAUAGCGGGGGAUAACUACUGGAAACGGUGGCUAAUACCGCAUACUGUCGGAUAACACAUAUGGGAUUAGCUAGUAGGUAAGGUAAUGGCGUACCUAGGCGACGAUCCCUAGCUGGUCUGAGAGGAUGGUCAGCCAACCUGGGAUUGAGAAACGGCCCAGACUCCUACGGAGGCAGCAGUGGGGAGUAUUGCACAAGGGGCGCAAGCGUGAUGCAGCAAGGCCGCGUGUGUGAAGAAGGCCCUAGGGUUGUAAAGGACUUUCAGUCGGGAGGCGUUACCGACAGAGGAAGCACCGGCUAACUCCGUGCCAGCAGCCGCGGUAAUUC
rnacentral:rRNA from 1 species